UGGGGAAUUUUGGACAAUGGGGGCAACCCUGAUCCAGCCAUCCCGCGUGUGCGAUGAAGGCCUUCGGGUUGUAAAGCACUUUUGGCAGGGAAGAAACAGCCUGGGCUAAUAUCCCGGGCGACUGACGGUACCUGCAGAAUAAGCACCGGCUAACUACGUGCCAGCAGCCGCGGUAAUACGUAGGGUGCAAGCGUUCAUCGGAAUUCCUGGGCGUAAAGCGUGCGCAGGCGGUUCGGAAAGAAAGGUGUGAAAUCCCAGGGCUUAACCUUGGAACUGCACUUUUAACUACCGGGCUAGAGUACGUCAGAGGGUGGUAGAAUUCCACGUGUAGCAGUGAAAUGCGUAGAGAUGUGGAGGAAUACCGAUGGCGAAGGCAGCCCCCUGGGAUGAUACUGACGCUCACGCACGAAAGCGUGGGGAGCAAACA
rnacentral:rRNA from 1 species